rnacentral:rRNA from 1 species
ACUCCUACGGGAGGCAGCAGUAAGGAAUAUUGGUCAAUGGAGGCAACUCUGAACCAGCCAUGCCGCGUGCAGGAAGACUGCCCUAUGGGUUGUAAACUGCUUUUAUCCGGGAAUAAACCUCUGCUCGUGAGCAGAGCUGAAUGUACCGGAAGAAUAAGGAUCGGCUAACUCCGUGCCAGCAGCCGCGGUAAUACGGAGGAUCCAAGCGUUAUCCGGAUUUAUUGGGUUUAAAGGGUGCGUAGGCGGCCUGUUAAGUCAGGGGUGAAAGACGGUAGCUCAACUAUCGCAGUGCCCUUGAUACUGAUGGGCUUGAAUGGACUAGAGGUAGGCGGAAUGAGACAAGUAGCGGUGAAAUGCAUAGAUAUGUCUCAGAACACCGAUUGCGAAGGCAGCUUACUAUGGUCUUAUUGACGCUGAGGCACGAAAGCGUGGGGAUCAAACAGGAUUAGAUACCCUGGUAG